AUUUCAUUCUAACUUAUGGAUGACCAAAAGAAAUAUUUUCAGUAAAAACUUUCAACCCUUUGGUAGAUCCAUUAUUAUAUCCAUAUAGCACACACACUUUGACAUUGCAUCUUCCUUUAUCUUUCUAUAAUGCUUAUCAAUGAUUUUUUUUAUAAAUAUUUAAAACAAAAAAGUUAUUAAAGCUUUCCAAAGGGAUGAAAGGCUGGGUGAAGUGAUGGGUGG
rnacentral:lncRNA from 1 species